GAGAUCGCACCACUGCAUUCCAGCCUGGGUGCAGAGCAAGACUCCAUCUCUAAAAAAAAAAAAAAAGAAAAAAGAAAAGAAAAUAGACAUUCUAGAGUUAAAAACUCAACAAGCUUGAUGCAACCAUCUUGUUUCAGGGGAAGGCAAUUACUGCACAGAGAAUAAUCAUGGACAAUGCCCCUCAAACCUCCACAUCCCCAAAAUCAGGACAUAUAGAAGACUGAGUGACAGCAUUGGACAAAGAUGUGUGGAGCAGGAUGGUAGCUGGAGGAGUGCCAGAGAGAGACCCGGGAUCUCACCAAGGUUACAGUGUCUGUGGCUUUGCGAAGAUUCCUCCUAAAAUUCUGCUCAUGGAAGGAUUUCAAAGAAAGACUGAGUGAACUUGUUCCUGAGAAUGCUUGAAGGGACGGGGAAACAUUAAAAAAUAAAGACUGGGUUAUUGGAAAUUGAUGGUGGUGUUGGUGGGGGUUGUUAAGAACUACCGUUAUUUACACACUGAUGAACUUGUGACCUCAUCUAUAUUCACAGGCUGCUGGUCUCUGAGCUAUUGAGUCCACCUACUUAUAGGGAUGUUCUUUAUAUUGGGGUGAAUGUUUUGCUUGUGAUAUAUCACUCUGUAUUAGUUUCCUAUUGCUGAUUUAACAAAUUAGCACAAACUUAGUGACCUCAAACACACACACACAUACACACAAACUCACACACACAUUUAUUAUCUUACAAUUCU
rnacentral:lncRNA from 10 species